rnacentral:rRNA from 1 species
CAUCGCAACGCGUCGAGGUAGCAUUUAUUGGAAAAUACCAACGCUGGCAGCGUACGGUGGCGACACCAUAGGCUGCUGGAAAGGUGAAUCUAGAUAACUGUGCUGAUCGUAUGGCCUUGAGCCGACGACGUUUCAAUUGAAUUUCUGCCCUAUCAACUUGUUGGUAAGGUAGAGGCUUACCAAGGUUGUAACGGGUAACGGGGAAUCAGGGUUCGAUUCCGGAGAGGGAGCCUGAGAAAUGGCUACCACAUCCAAGGGAGGCAGCAGGCGCGCAAAUUACCCAAUCCACAAUGUGGGAGGUGGUGACGAGAAAUACUAGAUCGUUUCCUUACGGAAUGCGAUACUGGAAUGAGCACAACUUAAGACAUUUGUCGAGUAACAACUGAAGGGCAAGUCUGGUGCCAGCAGCCGCGGUAAUUCCAGCUUCAGUAGUGUAUAUUAAUGCUGCUGCGGUUAAAACGCUCGUAGUUGAAUGACGAAGCACGGGACGGUACUUGGCCGCGGGUCACAUCAAACUGGCGGUGCAUGCUGAGACGUGGACUACGUUUACGGCGCAGUGUGCAUCGACAGUGUGGCCAGUGGCCAUUCACAGCCGUUCCGGGCUACUAGAUUGUGAGAAUGGUGAAUGACCUUUACUGUGUCGCUCAUCGUGUCUCGCAGAGUGUGCCUUGAAUAAACCAGAGUGCUCAAAGCAGGCAUGUUGCUUGAAUGUUAAUAGCAUGGAACGAACAAAUGUGAUUGACGUGCAGCGUCGCGAGUGGCGUAGGGAUCAUGUCUCUGCGUGAUGAGUGGCGCUGCACAGCACCAACCACCAAGACGGAUGUUGGUUUCCGUUUUGGGGUGAUGAUAAAAAGGGGCGGUUGGGGGCAUUGGUAUUUGGCAGCGAGAGGUGAAAUUAA